rnacentral:rRNA from 1 species
UACAGAGGUCCCAAGCGUUGUUCGGAUUCACUGGGCGUAAAGGGUGUGUAGGUGGUGAGGUAAGUCUGAUGUGAAAUCUCCGAGCUCAACUCGGAAAUGGCAUUGGAAACUACUUGGCUAGAGGAGUGGAGGGGGGACUGGAAUUCUCGGUGUAGCAGUGAAAUGCGUAGAGAUCGAGAGGAACACCAGUGGCGAAGGCGAGUCCCUGGACACUUCCUGACGCUGAGGCACGAAAGCUAGGGGAGCAAACAGG